rnacentral:rRNA from 1 species
CACGGGGAGGUAGUGACGAAAAAUAACGAUGCGGGACUCAUCCGAGGCCCCGUAAUCGGAAUGAGUACACUUUAAAUCCUUUAGCGAGGAUCCAUUGGAGGGCAAGUCUGGUGCCAGCAGCCGCGGUAAUUCCAGCUCCAAUAGCGUAUAUUAAAGUUGUUGCGGUUAAAAAGCUCGUAGUUGAAUUUGUGUGCCACGCUGUUGGUUCAUCGCUCGCGAUGUUUAACUGACAUGAUUGUGGGACGUCCUACCGGUGGGCUCUGCCUUUCGGGGCGGUCCAGCUAAUAUCCCAUCGCGGUGCUCUUCAUCGAGUGUCGAGGUGGGCCGGUACGUUUACUUUGAACAAAUUAGAGUGCUCAAAGCAGGCUAUGCUCGCCUGAAUACUGUGUGCAUGGAAUAAUGGAAUAGGACCUCGGUUCUAUUUUGUUGGUUUUCGGAACCCCGAGGUAAUGAUUAAUAGGGACAGAUGGGGGCAUUCGUAUUGCGACGUUAGAGGUGAAAUUCUUGGAUCGUCGCAAGACGGACAGAAGCGAAAGCAUUUGCCAAAAAUGUUUUCAUUAAUCAAGAACGAAAGUUAGAGGUUCGAAGGCGAUCAGAUACCGCCCUAGUUCUAACCAUAAACGAUGCCAGCUAGCGAUCCGCCGAAGUUCCUCCGAUGACUCGGCGGGCAGCUUCCGGGAAACCAAAGCUUUUGGGUUCCGGGGGAAGUAUGGUUGCAAAGCUGAAACUUAAAGGAAUUGACGGAAGGGCACCACCAGGAGUGGAGCCUGCGGCUUAAUUUGACUCAACA